GUGAACUAGCUAACUGAAAUCACAAAAUCACAAAAAGUGCUUAUUGUGAUAAUGUAAGGGAAAAAAUUGAUAUCACCUUACUAUAAGUGUUGUCUAAAUAACUGGUGCCAGAAGACUCGGUAACACCAGAAACGCGAACGUUAGUCGUCUUAAACAGGCGUAAAGGGUAAGUAGGCUGCUUUAAACAUCUAUUUAAAAAAAAAGCUAAUUAAUAAAUUAACCUAAAUUUUUUCAGACCUGAAAUUAUAAUUUAAGGCUAACUAAUAAUGAAAAAGGUAAUUAUUAAAAAAAGAUAGAUACACUUAAAGCUAGAAUCAUAAUUGAGAUAAACCAAAUAAUACUUAUGUGUAAGGGCGAUAUCUGAAAAUACUAAGUAGAAUACUAACGGUGAAAACUUUUUAUCUAGGAAUGAUUGACGCUGAGGUACGAAAGUGAGAACAGGGAAUAGGAUGUGCGACUUGAAAGCUUAAAUAAUGUAUAGUAUUCUAAGAAUACAUUAUCAUUCGUCUGAUAAUAGCCGACCUAAACAUGCAUAACUAGUAAUGGUUUUGUGUGAAGCUUUAGGAAAAAGUUAUUUAAUU
rnacentral:rRNA from 1 species